rnacentral:rRNA from 1 species
GCACACAGCUUGCGUUGAUGUGCCCAAGGCUCACAGCAGCCUACAGCAAUCUCAGCAAGACAUGUGGUUCUCUUCACUUCCCUUUCAGCGAUUUCAAG